CCCAUAACAUAAGUUAGUAAGACCCCUUGAAGACGACGAGGUAGAUAGGCAGAAGGUGGAAGUGUGGUGACAUAUGGAGCUGAUCUGUACUAAUAGGUCGAGGGCUUAACCAA
rnacentral:rRNA from 1 species